rnacentral:rRNA from 1 species
AAUUUCGGUUAUCGAUGGGGAUGCGUUCCAUUAGGCAGUUGGUGAGGUAACGGCUCACCAAACCUUCGAUGGAUAGGGGUUCUGAGAGGAAGGUCCCCCACAUUGGAACUGAGACACGGUCCAAACUCCUACGGGAGGCAGCAGUGAGGAAUAUUGGUCAAUGGACGCGAGUCUGAACCAGCCAAGUAGCGUGAAGGAUGACUGCCCUAUGGGUUGUAAACUUCUUUUAUAUGGGAAUAAAGUUUUCCACGUGUGGAAUUUUGUAUGUACCAUAUGAAUAAGGAUCGGCUAACUCC